rnacentral:rRNA from 1 species
AGUGAACGCUAGCGGUAUGCUUAACACAUGCAAGUCGAACGCAAUUGAUAAAGUUGAGUGGCGCACAGGUGAGUGGAUUAGGGGAAUUGGUUCUGGACUGUGGGAUAAAGCGCGAAUAGAGCAUUGAAUACCGCAUAAUUAGGUUGGAAGUGUAAGAAACUUUUUUAUCUAAAAAAGAAUAAGAAAAAUAUUGGUCCAGGGGGGGCCCCUAAGGUAUUAGGUAGUUGGUGGGGUAAAGGCCUACCAAGCCAGUGAUGCCUAAUUGGUCUGAGAGGACGAUCAAUCACACCGGGACUGAAAAACGCCCGGACUCUUUUAGAGGCAGCAGUGAGGAAUAUUGGACAAUGGGCGAAAGCUCGAUCCAGCAAUAUCGCGUGGGUGAAGAAGUGUUGAUGUAAAACUCUUUUGCCGAGGAGGAUUGUGACGGUACUCGGAGAAUAAGUCCCGGCUAACUUCGUGCCAGCAGCCGCAGUAAUAC